UGAUAAUCUCUCAGAUCCUAGAAUCGCAUC
rnacentral:piRNA from 1 species